CUUUUAAAACAAUAAUCUAGGGACAAAAAUUGAAAGCUUUAGCUUCUAAUGACUACAAGCUGUAGACUGUAGGUUGGCACAAAAUCUGAAUGGGAGCCAGUGGAUUUGGUGAGCAAAUCUUUGCAACAAGCCCUUUGAUGUUCUAAAGCUAAAGCCGUUUCAGCGGAAAGCCGGUUGGGGCGCGGGGAUUAGGACUGUGGUUUCUAUAUUUUGAAAAUAGCGCUCCCCCUUGUGGCCAUUCGCAUGCUGACUUCUGAAAUUGAGUUCUGAGAGCUCUUCCGGCUUGGGGAGCAUCUCUUCCAGUUUGUUUUCUUUCUGCUUUUAUAUUGUAGCCCUAUCUUCGAGGUAGAUUUCAGUCUCCGCUCGCCCCCUCGGUCAAGAAGCCUUGUUUAUUGUUAUUAGAUAUCGAAGAUGUUGACGGGCCCUACGUGGAGGGUCUGUGAUCAGACAGAAGGGUGAUGGGUCAGGACUCACUUCUGCUGCAUUUGACGUCAUCCCAGAGGCAGAAUGUGAGCAAAGAUGGCUGUACAAAGACAUUCACUCUGGCUUCCAGUCUGUGGUUAGAAAAACUGGAAGCAACCUAAAUGUUUAGCUUUAGGGAAGAGGCUUAAGAUGUGGUAACCAAGAUUAAGAAGAGGUAACCAAGGUGGCUUUCAUCAGUUUUGCCAUGGAUGGAGCUUUUCUUCAGAUCUUCAGGCUCACGUGGAAAAACUGAUAAAACAGAAAGCAAAUGGAAGAAUAUAAAAACCCCAAUAAUCUCACCACCUAGAGAAAACUACUGUUAGUAUUUCGAGUAUAUUUCCUUCCAGC